UGUUCUAAAGCUGAGUGCUUCAGAUGUGGAGC
rnacentral:piRNA from 1 species